rnacentral:misc_RNA from 1 species
GAUGAAGAACGUAGCGAAAUGCGAUACUUGGUGUGAAUUGCAGAAUCCCGUGAACCAUCGAGUCUUUGAACGCAAGUUGCGCCCGAAGCCACUAGGCCGAGGGCACGCCUGCCUGGGCGUCACACGUCGUUGCCCCCCCCCAUCUACUCCUUCGGGAUUGCGGGGGGCGGAUGAUGGCCUCCCGUGCGCCUAGCCGCGCGGUUGGCAUAAAUACCAAGUCCUCGGCGACGCACGCCACGACAAUCGGUGGUUGCGAAACCUCGGUUGCCCGUCGUGUGCGUUCGACGCGCAUCGAGGGCUCGAAAAAAUGCUCGGCUCCGGCUCGGCUUUCAACGCGACCCCAGGUCAGGCGGGGUUACCCGCUGAAUUUAAGCAUAUCAAUAAGCGGAGGA